CGGAGGGUGCAAGCGUUAUCCGGAUUCACUGGGUUUAAAGGGUGCGUAGGUGGGCAGGUAAGUCAGUGGUGAAAUCCUUGAGCUUAACUCGAGAACUGCCAUUGAUACUAUCUGUCUUGAAUGUUGUGGAGGUGAGCGGAAUAUGUCAUGUAGCGGUGAAAUGCUUAGACAUGACAUAGAACAUCUAUUGCGAAGGCAGCUCACUACGCAAAUAUUGACACUGAGGCACGAAAGCGUGGGGAUCAAACAGGAUUAGAUACCCUGGUAGUCCACGCCCUAAACGAUGGAUACUCGACAUACGCGAUACACAGUGUGUGUCUGAGCGAAAGCAUUAAGUAUCCCACCUGGGAAGUACGACCGCAAGGUUG
rnacentral:rRNA from 1 species